rnacentral:rRNA from 1 species
UAGCCUACGGGGCGCAGCAGUGAGGAAUAUUGGUCAAUGGGCGGGAGCCUGAACCAGCCAAGUCGCGUGAGGGAAGACGGUCCUAUGGGUUGUAAACCUCUUUAGGCGGGGAGCAAUGCCGGGCACGCGUGUCCGGAGGGAGAGUACCCGCAGAAUAAGCAUCGGCUAACUCCGUGCCAGCAGCCGCGGUAAUACGUAGGUGGCAAGCGUUAUCCGGAUUUAUUGGGCGUAAAGGGAACGCAGGCGGUCUUUUAAGUCUGAUGUGAAAGCCUUCGGCUUAACCGGAGUCGUGCAUUGGAAACUGG